rnacentral:rRNA from 1 species
GAUGAACGCUGGCGGCGUGCCUAAUACAUGCAAGUCGAGCGAACGGACGAGAAGCUUGCUUCUCUGAUGUUAGCGGCGGACGGGUGAGUAACACGUGGAUAACCUACCUAUAAGACUGGGAUAACUUCGGGAAACCGUAGCUAAUACCGGAUAAUAUUUUGAACCGCAUGGUUCAAAAGUGAAAGACGGUCUUGCUGUCACUUAUAGAUGGAUCCGCGCUGCAUUAGCUAGUUGGUAAGGUAACGGCUUACCAAGGCAACGAUGCAUAGCCGACCUGAGAGGGUGAUCGGCCACACGGGAACUGAGACACGGUCCAGACUCCUACGGGAGGCAGCAGUAGGGAAUCUUCCGCAAUGGGCGAAAGCCUGACGGAGCAACGCCGCGUGAGUGAUGAAGGUCUUCGGGUCGUAAAACUCUGUUAUUAGGGAAGAACAUAUGUGUAAGUAACUGUGCACAUCUUGACGGUACCUAAUCAGAAAGCCACGGCUAACUACGUG